AGCAGGUCUCAGAUUCUAUGUCUAGUCAUCUUUCCAUUUUCUCCACUUUGUCACCUCUCUCUCCCAACCCUUGCAAUAUGAACUACCACUAACAUAUCUGAAGAGGAGAAAAAGCCCACAUAUGACUGUCCUUCAACUUCUAAAAGCUAUGGAAAGUGCAGAUGGCGACAGCCUUCAAGAGACUAAAUAGCAGCUGAGUAAUGAGGUGUUUGAAGGAAUCAUGUUGAGACAAACCAGGCCCUAGAUAAAUCAGUGGCUGCCUCCAAUCCCUAUUAUGAAUAAUGUUGCUGGGGACAUUCCUGUACAGGCCUGUGGAUCCUGCAUCUCACCUACAGACCUCCUCAGUUUCUGCCCACAAUACUGAGCAUCUACUGUGUUUAUAUGGAGGACUAUGUACUGCCAGCCACCAAAUAAGCUUGAAUGUUAUGCUUUGCUUGGACUUGAUAAAUUCAGUGGAAUGUUGUUGUUUUUUUAUUUCAUUGAAAAUUUGAGCACAGCUGGAAAGGCUAAAAUCAGGGAAGUGAUGACCUUAGGCAUAUUCUUGAAGUGUGAGUGCAUUGUUUUCUUUAAAUAACUUGUAUGCGAAAUAUUGGCUCAUAAUUUUAGGAGCAAAAAAAAUGCUGUAUAUUCUCUGUACCUCUUCCAUAAAGAUGGACUGUGACUUAAAAUAGCCUAGGGUUAUUAAUGCUGGAAAUCUCUCUAAAAGGCAUUUCUGUACCUGUUCUUCUUGCUCUCAAAAAAAAAAAAAAGAGAAAUUAAAACAUAAUAUAAAUCAUAGAUCUCAGAUGUGUGAAUAUGUGAUACAAUUUCAAACUCUGUCAAGAUUAGACCACUACUAAUGCCCAAGGCUAAAAUGAAUUGUGGAAUUCUUAAACGUUCUUCCAAAUAAGUAAGUACAUUGAAACAAAAUGUUCUGGUACAGGCAGAGGACCAUUUUAAAUGGCCCCCUGAACACUCGGAGCUUUGACUUCUGUAAGACUAUACAAGGAAGACAAUUAUACUAUUGAGUCAAACCUUCAGAAGAAUUGGAAACAACUAAUGACAUGUGAUUCUAAGUUGGAGUGGGAGGUCAGUAGGAGUAAGCAUAAAAUUUCCUUAUAACUCAUGCAGUUUUGUGUCAAAAGUUAUUAUGAUGCUAUUUAAAACUUACUUUUUUGGAAACCCAUUAUUAAA